rnacentral:rRNA from 1 species
CACGGGGGGAGCAAGCGUUGUUCGGAAUCACUGGGCGUAAAGGGCGUGUAGGCGGUCAAGUAAGUGGAAUGUGAAAGCCCCCGGCUUACCCGGGGAUCUGCAUCCCAAACUGCUUGGCUUGAGUACGGGAGAGGAUAGGGGAAUUCCUGGUGUAGCGGUGAAAUGCGUAGAUAUCAGGAGGAACACCGGUGGCGAAGGCGCCUAUCUGGCCCGAUACUGACGCUGAGGCACGAAAGCGUGGGGAGCAAACAGG